rnacentral:lncRNA from 1 species
UCACAGAAAUGGAGAGGGAGAGAUAUUGAAAAGUCAGGAUGCCUUAGCGACAGAUCCCUAAGUCUUCGGAACUUCAGGGCAGUACUGCCUGUGUGGGAACUCUCCCAUGUCUCCUUGAUUUCACGGCCACCUUUGCAGGCGCCCUCUCUCGUCUCGCCGCCAGCCCCCGCCUCCUUUCUCCGUAAGCUUGGGUCUCCCUGGGAGCGGGUCUGCCCUUGGGUGAGGCCUCUGGGCUCUGUGCCCUACAGCUCGGCCGACAUUCGGGGCAGACAGAAGCGGGGUUCGGCGCCCCCCGCGUGCACGUGUGCUAGCCCAGGCAGGAGGGAGCGCCUCGGCGGAGGAGUCAAGGAAGAGGGGAGGGAGAAACGCGCCAGAACCUCGGUCCCGGGCGCCCUGGUCGGCCGCGGAGGAGCUGCAGCCUCCAACAGGAAAGUGUGGUCCCUGCCAUGCUAUCUGCUCUGCUCACUGACUGAAGGCACCUGUAUCCCGGCUCUGCCAGGAAGCAAAGGUAAGGGCACUGCUCAUCACCAAACCCUGGAUAGUGUUCAGGACAUCCCUCACCCCUGGAGCCCUGAUGAAGGGGGCGCGUCUUCCCCUCUGUGAUUGCCAAGGACAAUCCUAAGAUGGAAUGAGAUGGAUCAGUGGGACAAUGUGAUGGAAUGGUGUUUACCUUGCAUUUGCAGAGCCAUUUACAACAGGGAAGCACUUUCUUGUGCAUCAUCUCAUUCAGUGCUCCCCAAAAAACCUGAGGUGGAUAGUAUUAUCCCCAGUUACAGAUGAGAAAGAUAAAGCUCAGUGAGGAGAGGACUUGCCCAAAGACACAUACCUGGUAGGUAGCUAAAGCUGAAUUCUAAGCUUUUUCAUGUCUGUAUCCCAGUGGCCUAUGCACAUUGUAGGUGCUUGGUACAUGUUUGAUGAAUGAAUGAGUGAACUGAUGAACUGCCCAAGAUGAAUGGAAAGGCAGGGCUGGGCUGGCACUUGGCUCUCUUGUCACUGUCAGAUCCUGUGCUCUGUCAGAUCUGCUGAGCCAUGGCUUCCUGCACUGAUGAGCUCAACAUCCCCCCUGCCACUCCCUCCGCAGCCCAGUAUCCAAAGCAGCUUGUGGGUGGAGCAGUCAACCUCAGCUCCUCUUCCAGGUGGCCAGCCAAGCUCAGAUCACACCCGGCGUCCCUCAUCCACCUCUCCUCUUCCCCGCCACCCACAUGACCAGUAAUCCAGUGUGCAUAGUUGUAAACUUGUUUCUUUAAAUAAACAGUCUUGAGUUUCAUACCAAAUAGUCUCUUAAGAGGAGGAACGUCUCCAGGCCACCUCGUAUUUAGCAUACAGUGAGCCACAUAUUUGCACAGAGAGAGUGUAUGUGGAUAUAGAGAUCGCUCAAUCGCUAUAGAUAUCAUUGCUCAUCCAGAUGGGAGCUAUUUAUGAUGCUGAGUCAUUCACAGAGAAUGCCACUGAGGAAUUCCAGGCUGGGCUCUGAGCCCCAGCGUCACAGACCUCAUGGCUCUCUGCCUCGGCUUCACUGUUCACAAAUGAGAGGUGGGAGGGGGGGUCCCCCAUCACAGAGCUGGGACAGAAGGGAACAUUUUGGCCACAGGAAAUGAAGACUUGCUCAUAAGCAGUUCUUGGUGUAAGUCAUCCUCCUCCAUCCAGAGCACUGCACCCUUAGGGAUUAUCUUUUCCAAUUCCUUCAUUGUAUAGGAAAGAAAACUGAGACCCAGAGUGGGGAGGGACUAGCCCGGUGUCACACAGAGAGUCGGGGACAAAGCUGGUGCUAAAACCCAGACCUUCUGGCUGCUGUCUGGGGUUUCCACAUUCCCAGCAACCUUCUUCAGGUUUUGUCUCCAAUGUCUUGGCAUUUCCUCUCCCUGAGGAGCUUCUCAUCUUCCAAAAUGUGGAGUUGUCACUGAGCGCUUGCACCUUUGGGCUCUCCCAGGACGAGGGCUGAAUCCAGCUUGUUUGGGUACUCCAGCCCCAUGCUUAGUGCAAGACUCGCACACACUGGGUGCUCAAUGCGUGUGUACUGAGUGUUAUAUAAGCCCAAACUCAGUACCAAUUCCCGGGAAACCCAUUUGGAAAAGCACCCAUCUAUCUCCACCCUCUCUUUCUUGUCUCUAAGCCAGUUCCCUAUCCAUGCAAAAAUAGACUCCCUCCCACUCACCACCCACCUCUGUCCAAUUCUAUAAUGAAUCAAUUUUAUUAAUAGGCUUUGGGAUGGAAACUUGACAAAGGCUUUUUGUGAAAGUCUUGCUUUAUCUCCCUAUAUAGUUCACUUCUCAAAGAAUUCUAAUAAACUGGUCAGGUGGGAUUUCAUCUUACAUAAAAUAUUCAUCAAUCCACUCUUUCCCUCCAUAUAGAAUGUGUUAGUUUAAGCAUUCAGUGAUCUCUAUCCUGUGUUAUAGAUUCUAUUCAAUUGUUCUAAGAGGCAGUGGGAUGAGAUGGAAAGAGCCCUUGGAAUAGGGCCAGGUUGAAAUCCAGUUGGCCCCUUACUGGUUUUGCAUUCAUACUGAUUACUCUGAUGAUUAAAUGAAAUAAUAUCUGUAAGGGGGAUGGCGCAUAUUAAGGUCUCGAU